rnacentral:lncRNA from 1 species
AAAAGAAUAGGGAACUAGAGAAUAAGUUCCAAUACCUUGUCAGCUGGUCAGCAUUAGCUCUAAGAUUAGAAUGACACUUUCACUGAAAGAGAAAUGGAAAUUAUUCUUCUCUGUAUAAUAAAGUCCUUGAGGGUGGCUUCACAACAAAUUAAUGUAAUGCAUCUAAAAAUACCGCUCCAUGUUUCUAGUUUUCCUUGGGGACUGUUUAUGUGCUAAUGCUCCUCCUCUUCACAUAUCUCUCCUCUCCCCACUUGUUGGCCAGGCAUUCUUAUUUCUCAUUUCAACAACUAGUAUACACCACCAUAUGGAAUCCAGGACAUGAUGUCAGCCCAAAUCUCUGACCUUCAGAAAGUCAAAGUUGUUCGAAGAAAAGACUUCCCAAGAUCAAACCUCUCUGGAUUCAAAUGCGCACAGUUUACUUCCUGUUUUCCAGCUUUCUCCCUGACUGCUUCACUUAUGGAUUCCUCUCUUCACCCAUUACAGGUUGAAGAGACAUCUACGUUGGUGGUCUCGGGGACUCCUGCAGGUGGGUACUCCCUGGCAGAUGUGCCAGAUCCCAAUAAGUGCUGCUAAGAAAAAAGCAGGCAGAAGAACCUGGAAAGACUGGACUGGCCAUCUAACCUCCAUCUUUCUCCUGUGCUGGCUACUUCCUACCCUUGAACUUCAGACUCCACGUUCUUCAGCUUUUGGACUUUUGGACCGAUUCCAGUGGUUUGCCAGGGGCUCUUGGGCUUUUGGCCACAAACUGAAGGCUGCACUGUAAGCUUCCCUACUUCUGAGGUUUUGGGACUCGGACUGGCUUCUUUGCCCCUCAAUUUACAGACAGCCUAUUGUGGGACUUCAUUUGUGAUCCUGUGAGUCAAUGCUUAAUAAACUCCCUUUCAUAUAUAUGUCUAUCCUAUUAGUCCUGUCUAUCUAGAGAACCCUAAUACAAAGGAAUAAAUGUAACAUAUUUUGGAUUCAAAUUAAGUACAACAAUUGAUAAACCCACCUAAGUAUUUCCAAAAGUUUAAAAGUAAAAAUACAUAGUGUUUGAGUUCCCUUUGGCUACUAUAAUAAAUUCUACAAACUUGGUGUUUUAAACAACAAAAAUGUAUUUUUUUCAAUGUUUAUAUUUAAUUUCAACUUUUAUUUUAAGUUCAGGCAAGAUUGUGUAGAAAAGAGAUUAUUUACAGGCUUUUGGUGGAAAUGUAAAUUAAUUCACCCACUGUGGAAAGCAGGGAUUUCUCAAAGAACUGAAAAUGGAACUACCAUUUGAAACAAUAAUUCCAUUACUGCGUAUCUACCCAAAGGAAAAUAAAUUGUUCUACCAAAAAGACACAGACAUUCGUAUGAUCAUUACAGCACU